AACUAACUAGGAUUCCCCCAGUAACGGCGAGUGAACGGGGAAGAGCCCAGCGCUGAAUCGCUCGGUCUUAGGCCGCUGCGAACUGUAGCGUAUAGGUGCGAUCUUCUAGUAGUGCUGCUAGUCCGAAGUCCCUUUGAUAGGGGCCACAGUCCUGAGAGGGUGCGAGACCUGUACGGAAGGCGGCGCUUCUAGUAUCUUCGUUCCUUGGAGUCGGGUUGCUUGAAAGUGCAGCCUAAAGCUGGUGAUAAACUUCAUCAAAGGCUACAUAUAGAUGCGAAUUCGAUAGCAAACAAGUACCGUGAGGGAAAGUUGCAAAGAACUUUGAAGAGAGAGUUCAAGAGAACGUGAAAUCCUAUAGGUUGAAGCGGAGAGAGUUGACGUAGCUCGGCGGCUAAGCUUACUGUUCGCCUUUCGGGGUGUGCGGUUUGCGGUGUCCGCUUAUAGCUGCGCUGGCAGCGUUGUCCGAGCUUUCUGACCCGGCUUGUGUUGCCCACCUUCGGGUGGUGUCUUGCAGUCGGCGAGGUCUGCCGUGUUAACGUUUAGCUUCGUUUAUUCGGAGUGCCAGUGUAAAGGUCAGCCACCUUUCCGACCCGUCUUGAAACACGGACCGAGGAGUGUAACUUGUACGCGAGUCAGAGGGUGGAAAACCCUACGGCGUAAUGAAAGUAAAGGUCGGUUUACCGGCUGACAUGGGAUCCGUUCUUCGGAGCGGCGCACCAUGGCCCUGUCUUGAGAGCUUGCUCUUGGGCAGAGGAAGAGCGUACAGGUUGCGACCCGAAAGAUGGUGAACUAUACUUGAGCAGGACGAAGCCAGAGGAAACUCUGGUGGAAGUCCGUAUCGGUUCUGACGUGCAAAUCGAUCGAUAGACUUGAGUAUAGGGGCGA
rnacentral:rRNA from 2 species